rnacentral:rRNA from 1 species
GAUGAACGCUGGCGGCGUGCCUAAUACAUGCAAGUCGAGCGAACGGACGAGAAGCUUGCUUCUCUGAUGUUAGCGGCGGACGGGUGAGUAACACGUGGAUAACCUACCUAUAAGACUGGGAUAACUUCGGGAAACCGGAGCUAAUACCGGAUAAUAUUUUGAACCGCAUGGUUCAAAAGUGAAAGACGGUCUUGCUGUCACUUAUAGAUGGAUCCGCGCUGCAUUAGCUAGUUGGUAAGGUAACGGCUUACCAAGGCAACGAUGCAUAGCCGACCUGAGAGGGUGAUCGGACACACGGGAACUGAGACACGGUCCAGACUCCUACGGGAGGCAGCAGUAGGGAAUCUUCCGCAAUGGGCGAAAGCCUGACGGAGCAACGCCGCGUGAGUGAUGAAGGUCUUCGGAUCGUAAAACUCUGUUAUUAGGGAAGAACAUAUGUGUAAGUAACUGUGCACAUCUUGACGGUACCUAAUCAGAAAGCCACGGCUAACUACGUG